AACGCACAUUGCGCCCCCUGGCAUUCCGGGGGGCAUGCCUGUCCGAGCGUCAUUUCUGCCCUCAAGCGCGGCUUGUGUGUUGGGUGUGGUCCCCCCGGUGUUGGGGGGACCUGCCCGAAAGGCAGCGGCGACGUCCCGUCUAGGUCCUCGAGCGUAUGGGGCUUUGUCACCCGCUCGGGAGGGGCCUGCGGGCGUUGGCCACCCACGAUAUUUUUUUUACCGUUGACCUCGGAUCAGGUAGGAGUUACCCGCUGAACUUAA
rnacentral:misc_RNA from 1 species